CGUUUGGGUAGACAUGUGGGGCUGAGCGGGAGUUGGGGGGCAGAAAGAAGGAGGUGUGGGGCUGAGGUACUUGUGGGGCUGGGGCGUUGCUGUGGGGCUGAGCUACUUGUGGGGCUGGGGAUGGGCUUGGCGUCUGAUCUACUUGUGGGGCUGGGGGGAGAUGUGGGGCUGGGGGCGGUUGGGCGGAUCCGUGGGGCUGAGCGGGAGCUGUGGGGCAGCGGGGAGGAGGUGUGGGGCCGGGAGCGACUUGGGGGUCUGAGCGACUUGUGGGGCAGGAGGGGCCGUGGGGGCACGUGUGGGGCACGUGUGGGGCAGCAGCGGUGUCCUCGUCCCAUCCGCGCUCUGUGCCGUGUCACGCGUGUUCUGCGUCACGUGUGUUUUUGUGUCCCGUGUCAUCACGUGUUCACAUGUUGCGUCUCUAUCACGCCCAUCAUGGCUUCCCUGUCCCGUGUUUGCGUGUUACACGCGUGUUUUUGAGUCCCAUGUUGGUGUACCAUGUGUGUAUUGCAUGUCCCCGUGUCACGUGUUCACGUGCUGCGUCACGCGUGUUCUGCGUCACGCGUGUUCUGCGUCACGCGUGUUCUGCGUCACGUGUUUUUUUUGUCCCGUGUUGGUGUGUCACGUGUGUGUUGCAUGUCUGUGUCGUCACGUGUCCCCAUAUCACAUGUUCACGUGCUGCGUCACGCGUGUUCUGCAUCAGGCGUGUUCUGCGUCACGUGUCCCCGUGUUGCGUCUCUAUCACGCCCAUCACGCCUUCUCCUGUCCCGUGUUUGCGUGUUACACGCGUGUUUUUGAGUCCCGUGUUGGUGUGUCACGUGUGCGUUGCGUGUCCGUGUCGUCACGUGUCCCUGUGUCACGUGUUCAUGUGCUGCGUCACACGUGUUCUGCAUCACGCGUGUUCUGUGUCACGCGUGUUUUUGUGUCCCGUGUCGUCACGUGUCCCCGUGUUGUGUCUCUAUCACACCCAUCACGGCUUCUCGUGUCCCGUGUUUUCAUGUUACGCGCGUGUCCCUGUGUCACGUGUGUUGCUGUGUCACGUGUGCGUUGCGUGUCCGUGUCGUCACGUGUCCCCGUGUCACAUGUUCAUGUGUUGUGUCUCUAUGACGCCCAUCGUGUCUUCUCCUGUCCCGUUUUUGCGUGUUACACGCGUGUCCCUGUGUCACACGUGUUUUUGUGUCCCGUGUGUUUUUGUGUCACAUGUGCGUUGCGUGUCCGUGUCGUCACGUAUCCCCAUGUCACGUGUCCACGUGCUGCGUCUCUUGUGCCCGUCACGGCUUCUCCUGUCCUGUGUUUGCGUGUUACACGUGUGUUUUUGUGUCCCGUGUUGCUGUGUCAUGUGUGCGUGGCGUGUUUGUGUCGUCACGUGUCCCCGUGUCGUCACGUGUUCACGUGUUGCGUCUCUAUCGCGCCCAUCACGGCUUCUCCUGUCCCGUGUUUGCGUGUUACACGUGUGUCCCCAUGUCACACGCAUGUGCCCCCACGUCACGUGUCCUUGCCACGCGUCACCUGGCUGUGUUUCCCUGGGUCACGUGUUCUCGUGUAACACGUGUGUGUCCUCUGCGUGUCACUGUAGCACACACAUGUCCGUUGUUGCACGUGCGGUGUGUCCCCGUGUCACGUGUCCCCAUGUCGCGUCUCCAUCUCACGUCAUUGCGUCACGUGUGUUCUUGUCACGUGUGCCCUUGUGUCAUGUCAUUGCAUCACGUGCGUCCCCGUGUCACGUGUGUCCCCAUUCUAUCACGUGUGACCUCGUGUCACGUGUCCUUAUGUCACAUCCCCAUGUCACGCGUGUCUGUGUUGCAUCUCACUGUCACAUGUCACGUCUUCACGUCACGUGUGUCCCCGUGUCGUGUCGCUGUCACUUGUGUGUCCUCGUGUCACACGUCCCCAUGUCGUAUCGUUGCGUCACGUGUCCACAUGCCAAGUGUGUCCCCUCUACAUGCCACUGUUAUGUGUCCCCGUUGCGUGUCGCUAUCACGUGUCACGUCCUCGUGUCACACGUGUCCCCAUCUCAUGUCACUGUGUCACGCGUGUCCCCGUGUCAUGCGUCCCAUGUCAUGUCACUAUGA
ensembl:lncRNA